rnacentral:rRNA from 1 species
UACGUAGGGUGCAAGCGUUGUUCGGAAUUACUGGGCGUAAAGGGCGCGUAGGCGGGUUGACGUGUCGAUUGUGAAAUCCCUGGGCUUAACCCGGGAACUGCGUCCGAUACUGGAAGGCUUGAAUCCGGGAGAGGGAUGCGGAAUUCCAGGUGUAGCGGUGAAAUGCGUAGAUAUCUGGAGGAACACCGGUGGCGAAGGCGGCAUCCUGGACCGGCAUUGACGCUGAGGCGCGAAAGCCAGGGGAGCAAACGGG